CACAUUUUUGACGUGAUUUCCCAAACAUUCUACAUCAACGUUACUCUACUCGUGGACUGUUAAAAUGACCUGUUUUGUUAAACAGACUCAUCUUGCAACAAAUGACUUUCCUCGCUUCCAGCGGACACCAUUGUAGCAACCAAUGUGGAAACUCGUCAUCAGGGGCGGUUAAUAAACCGUCCAAUGUUGUUAUCCUUAUUAGUGAGUUUAGGAUUUUGGUCACCAUCAAAUUCAAAUGGAGGAGAACAGACUGCAAUAAUUGUCUCAUUACUGAGAUGCCCACAAGGUAAGGUUCCUGUGUCCUUUUCAUGAGUCGUCUGAAUUCCUCUUCUUUUUUUCUUCACCCCCUCCUGCCCUCGCAACUCUUUUUUUCGAUCUUCAGAUGGGAGUGGGUGUAUAAUCUGAUCAAGUGGGGGUAUGUGUGGAGUAUAAACCCCGUGUUCUGAGUGGCCCGUUUCUGUGCUGUAUGUACCUAUAGUGCUAUGAGGAGAAAAUCUGAUCAUGUUCAACAAGAUCAUCGAAAAAAAUGUUUGGAUAAUUAUUUGUAUAUCAACUUGUAUUCUGCUCUGCUGUUACAGAAUAAAAUUUGCUUGUUAAUUCUGAA